UUUUUUUUUUUUUUGUCUUCAUUUGAUUUGGUAUUUGUGACGUGACAUUCUACACCAACCCCAUAUCAGUUUAGGUAAAAAGUAAAACAUUUUAAUCAGCCGUUCUCCAUCUCUAUAGUGGGUCCUCAAGUCGGAGUUCUUUGGCUGCGGCUGCUACCGUUAACAACCCUUCUUGUCAGGAGAAGAUGAAGAAGCGUGAAACACGGUGUCAUCCAGUGGUGGUGGGGCAGAUUCUUGUGGUGUUUCACAUGGGUAGUGGUUCAGAUGUGAUUUGGGCCCCUACUCCUUACUAAUGACUUCAAAGUUUUUGGCUUUUUCAGCUUUUUUUCCUUUUAAAGUUCAAGUUUUCUUCAAUGUAAAGCACUGUGAAUCAAUGGAGUUUAGGGUAUCGUUAAUUCUUUCUUUUUGUUUCUUUCCGUUUUGGGUAAUGUAGCGUUCUGUUUCAUGAAAUUAUUAUCAUUGCUUACCUUUUGUUUAAAUUUUUAUUUUUAUUUUAUUUUGUUGUAUUGUAAUUUCGAUCUGAAUAUUUUGGUUCAUAAUGUUUUACUUUUACCCAUUAAUAUAAAACUGACGUGGAAAAUAAAAUAACACGUGGUAUCAUUGGGUUGGUCCACAACUCCAUGUUGGAUUUCCGUCAUGGUUUGGGGUUAAGCUAUUAACGGGGUGAUUUUACACGUACCAAGAAAAACAUAGGUACCACGUUGAUGAAUGAGGUAUAAUUCAGGUGUCAAUAUGAAUAUUAACCCUUUUUUUUGAAAGGUUAUUGAAUUAAAAUUACAUUUUAAUCAUUCAAUUAUUAAAAUUUAUAUUGUAGGCACCUAUAUUAUUGGAUUAUUUCAUUUUGAUCCAAGCUCGUUAACUUCCAUUAUUUUCUUUUAAGGAAAAGAUGACAUGGCAUGUUGUCUUAAUAAUUCUUUUGGCCUUUAAAGUAUAAUUAAAAUUCCAGUUUGAUGCUUUUAAAUUUUUUAAUGAUAAUUCUAAAAAAUUAGAAAAUAUUCUAUACAUAUUUAAAAAAUUUUAAAAAUUAAAAAUCAAAUCAAAUUCUAAUCAAAUUUGGUCAUAUUUAAUCUUAAUCCUCCUUUGGGCCCGGUUGCUACUCACAAUGUUGUUAAGUACAUAUUCUCUUUCGAUAUCUAUUAUCGGCAGCAAUAACUAAUCUUCUCAUUAUGGGGGUUCUCCAAAGAGGUAAAAGAUUAGCCAUGAAAUGUGAUUUUUUUCCAUGAGUGAUCACCACACCAUAUCUCAUGGUUGAUGGUUAAGAUUUGAGUUUAUUGUUAUUAUAAUUAUAUAUUUAUGGCUAAAGGGUCAAAAAAGUCCUCCAGAGAAAAUAAAAAAUCGAUUAUCCUACUACUACUCACAACGUUGGUAAGCCCAUAUUCUCCAUCAAUAUUCGGUGUCGACAGCAAUAACUAAUCUUCUCGUUAUGGGGCUCUCCAAAGAGAUAAAGAAUUGGCUAUGAAAUGUUAUUUUUUCUCAUGAGUGAUCACCACACCACACUUCAUUGUUGAUAAUUAAGAUUUGAGUUAAGUUGUUAUCAUGGUUAUAUAUUUAUGGCUAAAGAAUUAAAAAAAAAAGUCAGUAGAAAAUAAAAAAUCAACUAAAUCUUCAUAGAAAAAGUGCACUCAAUUGAACAUUCAGAGAUGAAAAAAAAUCAAUGAUGUUCUUCCGUUAAAUUGAUCAGUUUAGUUGUUAAUGAAUGUUGACAUAAUUAACGAAAGCAAUAGGAAACUCGAAACAUGGCAUUCCACGUGGACAAACAUGUAUAUAAAAAAUGAAAAAUCUUAAAAGAAUAUUUCUAAAAAUACACAUCUAGAAUGAACUUAGAUAUCGUCUAUGUUCAUUUACAGUUGAACAAUAUUUUAUCUAGAUUUAUCAUAGAUGUGAUUAUAAAAAAAUCAUAAAAUAUUUUUUAAAACAUAAAAAUUAUUACAAAUUGAAAAAAAAUACAAAACAAAAGUUAAAUUUUACAAAUUAUUUAAAAUAAAAAAAGUAAAAAUUUUUAAGCAAUUGAAAAUUCAUAGAAUGUCUCAAGAAAAAUAAUUUAAAGAGAUUUAUUUUUAAUUUUAAUAUGAAUUAUGGGUAGGGGAAAAAAAAUACAACGAAGACUCCAGUGACAUGUUUGUCGUAAUCAAUACAGUUGUUGUCACUGUUUUGCUCUUUUACGGCUUCUUCAAUGUUGGAUUUGUCCUGAAACUCUAUUUUGGCGUUGCAAGUUUACUACCGCAGUCUCACUUUAUGCCCUUCUCAUUUCACCGUUCAUCAAUUAUGUCAAAUAAUUGGCUGCGCUCUUUUCAUUUCAUCCUUCAUUAAUUUAAACCCUGUUAAAUUUUAAUAUAUAUAUAUUUUAAGUUUUCCAUAACAAAAUCAACCCAAAUAACUCAUAUUUAAUAAUUUUCUACGAAACUUACACUUGUUUUAAUUAUAUAAUCUCGAAUCUUUCAUGCUAACGUAAAAGCAAAUAAAAACCCUUACAAUUAAUUAAAAUUAAUUGCUUAUUCUUCAUAUGGGUAAAGAAGUGAUGAAAAAUUCUAGGUUUUGUUUGGUAUGGAAGAUAAAAUUAAUUAAUUAAAUUAAUUAAAAGAAUUUUUCUUUCCUUUUAGCUUAACAUGAAAGAUUCAAAAUCAUAUAAUCAAAAGAAUCUUUGAGUUCCGUAGACAAUUAUUAAAUAUGAGUUAUUUGAGUUGAUUUUGUAAUACUCCUUACCUGGUUCGAUCGUCGGACCUAAGUUAUAAGGUACUACAAGCAAAAACAAAACAUUUAAUCACAUUUCCUAAUUCAAAUGUUAAUGCAACAUCAAUUUAUUUAAAUAUAUAAUCAAAUACAACAUGCAAUUCAUUCAAUCUCAGGUUUAUAUUGAGUUUACGAAAGUUUAAAAUUGAUCCGAUAACAAUUAGGGAUUAAAUUGAAUCAAAAACAAAAAAAAAAAUAGAAAAGUUUUACAAACAGGGAUCACACACCUGUGUCCUCUGACCAUGUAAAGGGAUUCUAGCCGUGUGGAAUGGGUCACAUGGUUGUGUCAUCGGGCCGUGUAAUAUACUUAGUCGUGUGCACCAAAAUCACCUAAAACUUUAUGAACACACGGCUGUAUCAUAUGCCUGUGUAUGGCAAACAGUCGUGUCUCAACUCGAGUGUACUUGAAAAUACCUUUUAAUGCAAGCUUAACAACCCAACUUCACUUAUACUAGAAACAACUGAAUAUACCAUACUUUAAGCAAUUUAAAAACAUUAAUUUCAUGCGAAACAUCAUUUAUUUCAACCAAUCUAAGUACCUAACUAAUAUGCCACGUUUGACACCUCAAUUGACAAUUCAAAAUCACUAAAACAUCACAUACAUAUCAUUCCAAUAAGCCAUCAAUAGAACCUCAACUAACAACUAGUUAUACAACAAAAUGACCAUUCAAGCAAGUUAUAUGCACCAAGCCUACCAACUCAUUUUAAGCAUACAUAAAUUUACAAAUCACCUUUAUGUACCUAUUCUUUGUCACAUCAUCUAAUCACCAUCUAAACAAGCAAAUGUACAAGUCAAUCUAUUCAUCAAAAUGUCAUUUUCAUGACCAUUGUAAUCAAACACAUAUAUACAUAUACAUAAUCCUCAAAAUGCAACAAGAAUCUUGAAAUAAAACAUUAAUUGCCCAAAAGACAACUUAGGUAUAUGCCAUGACCAAAUUUUAAAAUAUCACUCACGAUUGAGUUCGGGAUUGUCGUUGGAUGCUGAGUUAACGACAGAAUUGUAAAGUACCUAAUCCGCAUACGGAAAACAAAGUCGUACGCUGAGUAUAACUCAGUGGUAUUUCUAUAUCUACCAUUAGAUUAUAAUAUAAAUUAUGUAAUGCAUAAUUUAACAACAGGAUCUAAUGCAAACUAAUAUUGGAGAGCUAUGUCAUAGUGCACCAUUUAAUAUUACAAUUCGAUUUACUAUAAUAAAUCAAUCUAACAUAGUUGUAACAUAUACAUAUCUCCAUAUAACAAUCGAAAUAAUUUUAUUGCUUUAAUAUUAGAUUCACAUUUCCGGACUUAACUCUGGUAUCCUCUAUUCAAUUUGAUUUAUAGUCAAUGUCCCAAAUCCAUAAUGUUAUUUCAUCCAUCAUUCUUCAAUACAUAUACGCAGUAAUAUAUACAUCACAUCUCAAAAUAGAUUCAAUUUCAUAUUUAUAUCAUUAUACGAUAUUUUCAAAAUUAUUCACUUUAGUCCUCAUCGCAAAUAACAAAUCUGAAUUGAAUCAAUUUAGCUCUUCUUAUCAUUUUUAACUCACCUUAUAAUCUUACCAUGCAAUGCAGUUCAUAAAUGCAUCAAUUGAAAUAGUUCGGAUCAUAGCAACACAAAUCGUAAACUCUGAGCUAUUUGUUGAUGAUUUUAUCCUUUCCUUUCCGUUUUGAGAGAUUUGGGUUGACGUUAGCUACGGAAUAACAUAACUACACCAAAUCAUUAAUACACAAUCAUUUUCACAUUCAAUUGCUAAUUUAUGUUAAUUUUUUAUUUUAUUCAAUUUAGUCCCUAAAAUCGGGACUAACAUAACUUUCAAAUUAAGCCACCAAUUUUUAUAUCGAUUUCACUUUAGGCCUAAUUUAACUUCUUAUUUUUCAUUUCUACCCCAAAAUUUGAAAUUUGUGCAAUUUAAUUCCUAUUGCAUAAAAUCAUCAAUUGACUCUACAAUUUAGUCAUUUUUCAAUACUAAACUUAAAGUCUAUCAAAUUAAUCCCUAAAACUUCAAUUACUCAACAAUGUUAACAUCCACAAACUUUAACAAUGACGAAAAUAUAACAUGAGUCAACUAAUUUGAAUUCCCAAAAUUUAAUAAUAAUAAUAAUAAUAACCUAAAUUAAACUAAUCAAAUGGAAGCUUGAAUGCCCUUGCCGUUGGUCUACCUUUCUCCCGAAUUAGCUUCGAAUUUUUAAAGGUGAAAAGAGAACGAAUACUUUCUCUUUCAUUACACCAAACUUUUAUUUUUACUUUAUUAAUUAUGUUUUCAUUUUUUUAUAAAUUUUAAUCUUUAAUAUUUUAUAAUAUAAACAUACAUUCGCACAUUAGUAACCCGCCAUAUAUCUUCUAAGUUUAUUUUUUAUUUAAGCCCUAUAUAUUAUCUUUUAAUUAAAAAUCUUUAACAAUUAUCACUUUUAUCAUUUAUAAGCUUAAAUUAAUCCCUAAUUCGAUAAAAUUAUUUUACUGAAAUUCAAUUCACUUGUAUCAUAACUCUAUAAAUAUUUUAAUAAAAAUAUUUGCAUGUACGGUUUACGAAAACGAGAUUCUAAUAUCUCAAUUUCUAAAAUCACUUACUUUAGAACCGAUACACUUAUACCUUGUCUAGCUUUCCAAAUAAUCAAAAUUAUUAGACCAAACUUCAGUAUAAUACUAUAAUACCCUUGUAAAUAUUAAUUAUUAAUAUUUACUGACUCUAUCAUCGAAAUAUAGAAUUCCAAAAUCACCGUUUAUGACACCACUGACUUUUAGGUAUUACAGAUUUUAAUUUAGAAACAUACAAUAAAAUUUUAUAUUUUAGAGGGAGAUUAAAUUAACUAAUUUAAUUAAUUUCAAUAUUGAAUAAGAAAUUUCAAUAAUUUAUGGUAUUUUACUGGUGAUUCAUUAAAUUGACUUGAAAGAGAGACUUCACAAUAGUUUGAAGAAUUAACUUGAAAGAAUCUUUCAUGAUUGCAAGAAUAAGAUCCCCAAGGGAUGAUAACUCUAUAUAUAUAUAUAUAAAGAGAAACAACAUACACUAGAAAUUUUGCAGUGACAAAACAAAACUAAAUGCUUAAAGAGUACAUCAUGGCUGUCAUUGAUGAUCAUAUUCAGCUGCCAAAAAAGCUUUCAAUAUUUAGCCCUCAUUGUCCCCCCCCCCUCCCUCUCCAUAUAGAGAUUGCUGCAUCAUCACCUUUAAAGAAGCCAACCCAUUUUCCUUGUGCAUAAACUCAACCACCGUACAUUACUGACAAAGCUUUUAAAAUGGCAAGAACUCACUAAUCAUCUCAUCAACCAAGACAUUCAGUAUUUGACCCUCGAUGUCUGCUCCUAGUGCGAACGCAUCUACUUUGAAAUCCAGCCACUUUCCAUGUUGGCUUCUCAUGUCUUUGUCCACAAGCUCAUCCACCAUGCAAUCUCCCAUGCCUCUCCACCCACAUAUCUCCUUGUACACUUCUUCAGCUAGCCACUCAUUUCGUCUCAGGAUUGUCAUCCCUUUCGUCCACGUUUUGUAUCCUCCACCAACAUACCGUCUGCAUCUCAAGUCCAUGCAUUCACUGACUGAAUCAAAUAGUACCUUCCGUUCUAGCCUCGACUCACCAUCACGUCCAAAUCCAACACUUCGGCUUUCCAACUGAUCAAAGAGAUGAGGAUUUAUAGUUUCACGAGCACGGCCUAAGGCGAAGUCCUUGAACAUUAACUCCACGUUACACAGUAUCAGCUUCACAUAUUCUAGUUCCCAGUUGGAUGAUUUCAUGGAUUCUGACAUAACAACAAUAUUUUCAUUACAUUUAGCCACAGUUCUUGAAUACAUGGAGGAAGCAGAAUCUGAUAACUCUGUAUCAGCUUCUAGUGAGCGUAGCUUCUUUAAAGAACUUAGACCAAGAACUUCCUGAGCUUGGACAGAUGAACACUGCUUACUUCCUGAAAUAAUAUCCGGGAUACGCAUUAGUAUACCCAUAGAAAAACUUAUAACAUAGAUUCAGUAUUGAACAUAAAGGGUAAGCCACGAGCUUUACCUUCUAUACUGAAACUAUCAGUGCUAUCUGAAGAGUUGCAGCUUUCAGUUGAAAACGUCUGUUCAAGGAUAGAAACUGGACUAGGUUGCCAAGCAUCAAGAGGGCUGCUACUGCAUUCAUCAACUCCUCCCUGAAUGUACCAUAACAGUGUUAAAUAUCAAUUCAUGAAAUAGUUUUGAUGCAUUUGAUAACAACAGUCUCUCGUGCUUGAGAAGAAAAAUGGUUAACCAUUAAAACCUCAAAGGUGACACACAAUCAAGCUGCAGAUAGAAAUGCUAAAUCUUUUACCUGAAGCUUGUGUUUCAAUCCAAGCAGUUGAAAAUCAGCAGAGGAAAGAUUGGAACUGUGACAACUACCAAGUUUAUCAUGUAACGGGGGCAAGCUAUUGAAGGCAUUAGGAGUGCUGUGCGCAAAAUCUUGUGAAAAUGAUGUAGAACUAGAAGGUGAUCCUGAAUUGAGAGACUUUUGGCAGGACGAUUCGACCGCAUUACUUAAUUCUCUUAGCUUCUGUUCCAAAAGCAUGCUUAAAGCAUCUCCCCCUAUCACAUUAUAUCCUGAUGAAGGCAACUUCAGACUCUCAAUGUCAGGCAACAAUCUCUUACCCCGGUUAUCCAAGCAAAAGCUGUUAUUUUUCUGAGAAACCUGAGAUGUUUCCAUUGAACGGGUAAGCGGGGCUGUGAAUGUGAAUGAGACAACAUCCAUGCCUUUCUUCUUGCUAUCUUCAACCCAGCUGAUGUUCCUUUCUGUAACAGGAUGAUCUUCCUUCUGGUUUCUGUCAAUCAACACACUAUCAACAACCUGAUUUUUCUCAAAAUGGAAAUCCCUAUCUAUUGAUCUUUUCUUCCUCGGGUUCUUUGUACUGGAAUAUGGACCUCCUUUUUCGCUAUCCGCUGUAACUAAUCCCAACUUCCUCGAGGCAGUUUUGGAAUUUCCAACAGUUUUAACUGACAUUCUAUGUUGCGCAAAAGCGGAAUCCCCAGAGAGCACUUUUCUACUGUGCGAAUUGGCACCCGCAUUCUUUGAAGGUAAUUUUUCCUUAUUGGCUAUAGAGUUCUGCUUCUGAUUGUUCUGCCUGAGUACACUAGAAGAAUUGUGCAUUGAAGGUUUCUUAUGCAAACUCUUUUGAGUACUUGGUUGACUCUUGAAGGCUUGACUACACUUAACCUCACUCUGGUCUUUUGACCCUAACAAACUCCGGUUGCUGCUCGAAGCUAAUCCUUCUCUUUUCUGCACAUUGGCCUUAGCUUGGAUUGCAAGUGAUAUCGACUUCCCUUUAUUCUUUAAAGCAGAAGAAAUUUCUUCAGUAUCAGAAGUCCUGGGUGAUGUUGUCUCUAUGGAUCCAUUCCAGCUCUUGUUCAAAGAUUGUCCUUUAAGAUACUUGACCGCAUUUGACUCAACUGGCCUUCUAGUCCUUUCAGUGAGCCUUGACGUCUUAUGUGCAUAUUCUGUUUUCUCUUUUAAAUCUUGAGCUUUCAAGGGCACAGAAGAAGAUCUGACCACAGGCAUUUUUUGCGCAGCCUCCAUUUUUUCUUUGAAAUCACGAACUUUCACCGGCACUGAGGACGAACCAACUUGAGGCAUUUUGGCUCUAGUUGUGGCUUGUGGGCCAGGCUGAAUAAUUCGUGCAGCUGUUUCCAUUAUGUGAGCCGCAUUCUUAAUCGGAAUAAAACCAGGACUCUUGAUAGGAGACAAAAGUUUAUGGUGGGUAAUGGGAAUUGUUUUAGCUGCCUUAGGGGGCAAACUUUCGAUUUGGAAUUUCUCUAUAGGCUUGCUGACUGUCUUCUGAGGCAUUGACUCCAUAAAGUUCCUCGCAGGGCCCUCAAUCUUACUGAAAAGAUCUCCAGGAUAAACUCCUAGUUGGUCAUUAUGAUAAUUAAGGUUUCUAUUCCAGAAAUGAGCAUCUCGAAGAGAUUGAGUGUCAAACAAAGGGGUGGAGUAUGGCUCAGAAUAUGUGGGUAACGAAUCUAAUCCCAUAAGCCUGGUAACCACACUGGGGGCCCUAGUACCAUACAUAUCAUCAUCUGUGACUGAGGAAGCACAACUAUAAUCGCUACUUCCCUUUAUGCUUGUCCCAGCUCCAAUUUCAUCCUCAUCGGUCUGCAAUAAUGACAGCAACAAUUGUAAAGGAAUCUCAAUUGAAGUGCUACUGUUCAAGAGUGUAAAAGGAUCAACCCGCAAUUCAACUGAGAUUUGCUAGUUCUCACCAGAUGGAGUCGUGUCAUCGGCAAGUUCCCAUCAUUUCUCUUUCCCUGUUUUGAUCGCUCUAAAAAAUUGAAGGGGAAAGAAAACAUUAGCAAACAUAAAAAAAGACGGUAUUAUAGCAUAAGAAUAUAAUUUGCAAUUGCAUAUGCUUGCCAUGCAAGCCAACAAACAUGUUGCAUUCUUAUCUGUAUAGGGAAGACAAUUAUACCUGGAAAAUCAGACUUGCUAGAGAAUAACUUCUUCCGAGAUUUCGCUUUCCAGUCAAAUAGCUGAAAAAGUCCACCUACAUAACCUCCAUUUUUUGGUCCUUCUUUGUCAACCCCCAUUGGAUAAAAGCAGAAUUUGAACUGUUUAAAUUAUACAAGCAAAUGAUACAAGAGAGACAGAAACUCCACUCCACCGGCCAAAUCCAUCUGCAGACAUUAUUAGACACAACAAACAGUUAAGUACGGACCAAAUUGAAAUUCUGACCAUUUUUUUCUAAAAAGCAUAUGCAUGCUAUUCAACACUCCAAGAUAGGAGCUUUCUUUGUAAUUUCAGUCAAUAUUUUAUCAGAUGAAAUGGAAGAUCAGAUAUCUAUCUGGUACCCUAAAAAGGAUGUUAAAAGCCUAUCAAUGGAGAUGAACUUGUUUCUUUUUACCCUGAGAUCUCUAAAAACAAAAAACACGGCCAAAUGUAGCAUCUGUAUCUUCAUUUUUCAUGCCACUUAACUAGACAUUGCACACCUUUUUUUCUGCCAUUGACUUGGCAGAAUUUCAAACAGCUAAAAUUUGUCAAACAAGCAAGACAAUAUAAGAACAUGAAAUGAACACAAAAAUCACAUUGUCACCAUCUUAAAUCUAUGUCAUAGUGCACUCAUUCUUAAGAUAUUUAGCUCUUUUAUUCCCACACUUUCCGGUGACAAGCGACUUACAAUGUCAAAGCCCUUCUAUAUCAACAUCUCUACAAUAUUAUACCAUUUGAAAUUAGCUUUAACAGAUGAAGUUCCUAUGGUACUAAGGGGGAUUAACAAAAAAAAAAAAUUGUAGAAACUAAUUGCAUACUCUCAUUUUACCAAAAAAAACACCUUAGGUCCCAAUUCUAAUAAAAUCUGCAAAUAAAAGGCUGUCUGAGAAUGAUAGAAAGAGAUAAAUUGCCCCUAUAAUUUAGCAAGCAAUUCAAUUUAAUUCAACAUCCAUCGAGAAGACUAGAUUCAAAUAUUUUAAGGGCACAAUCCUUUAAAGAAAACAAUUCUUUGACAAACAAUAAAUAAACAUACAGGCUCAAACCAACAACACAAUGAUCAAUAAGCAGCAAUUUGAUAAGAAAAGCAAUUGCCAAAUCCCCCCCCCACAAAAAAAAGAAACAAAAAGAAACCCAGAACUUUAAAUGGAAGAAAAAGACUUACACUGAAGUCCAAUGAAUGAGAUCAGCUUAAAUGCAGCAAUAUUUCAUGGUUUCAGCUUAAAUGCAACAAUAUUUCAUGGCUCAACUUAAAUAUAGAGAAAAGGACAGAACAUUGCAAUGGGGUUCAGCUUAAAUUUGAGAUUUUUGGGAGAAACAAAAGUGAAAGGCUCCUUCUUUGAGAGUCAGAAAAGAACUGAGGGAUAAAGAAAGAGAGAAGGGUGUGUUUGUGUGUAUGUGUGAUGUAGUUCAAAGCAAUAAAUGGAGACACAGAGUAAAUAAUAGCAUAGGGGUUUUCCAUUUUUUUUUUAAAAAAUAAUAAAAUUAAAAUUGCUUUGCUUAAAAUUUUGUAAUUUAAUUUUAAUCAUUAUUAAAACGAAGUGGAAUUAAAAAGCCUAUAACGUCUCUUUUAACAGGGUGACUGUUCCUGGGAAUUCUGAUAAACUUACAAGUGGGUUUCAAUUAGUUUGUGUACUACUUAAUGGAUUGGUAAACACGUGUUCAAAUCCCUUUUCUGUAAAUUUGAGGCAACUUGGUAAUUCAAUGUCUAAUCAAAUGGGCCUUUAAUCUAUAAUAUAUAAAUUGAUAUUACAAGUUAAUUUCUGAAUUUAAUUAAUUUUAAUAUAAAAAUUUGAUUUUAAUAUAUUUUAUUAAAUAAAUUUAAGAACACCCAUAUAUUUUAAUUUAAAAAUAUUUAUUUCAAAAAAUACAUCAAAUGUUACUUUUAUUAUUUUCAUAAAUAUUUUAAAAGUAAUUUUUAAAAAACUCUACUCCUAUUGUGAUCGUGCAAUAUCUCGUAAUAAUAAAAUAAAUAUUUUUUCUUAAAUAAUUAUACUUAGUUUUAAACUUGUGCAAUGUACGAAGGUACAUUAUAUUUUAAUAAAUUUUAAAUUUAAUAUUAAUAAAGUGAUAAUAUUUUUAUUUUCCAUUUAUAUUUGAAAUAUUUGUAUUUAAUAAAAAAGAACUAGAAUCAAAUUAUAAUUUAUAGCAUAAAAAACUUCUCAACAAAAAUUAAAAUGAAAAAACUUAUUUUAAUUAACAUUAAACUAUAAAGAUUGAUGUAAACUAACAAGUGAUUGGAUGUAAUGGUAAAACAUAUUACACUUUUAAUAAGAAAAUAAAAUUCGAACUUUAAAAAUGAUAAUCAUAAAUCUUGAGUUUACCUCUAGUAACCCAAAUUGAGUCGCACUAACACCAUUAAUAUACAUAACAUUACAAACUAAAAAUCAGAACCAUUUUCCAUUUUCUAACACCAUGCUAAGAACAUUGAAUUUCUUUGGACCCCAAUUUUAGCAAGGGCAAUAUUCCAGCUACUUGCUUAAAUUAAUUGCUUAUAGUUUAUUGUCAGUGACACAUUAAUUUAAUUAAAUAUAAAUUUAAUAAACAUAAAUUUAUAUUUAUAGCUUUGUAUAUUACGUUAAUAAAUAUCUUUGAAUUAAAAAAUAUUUUCGAAUAAAUAUCUAUCUAAUUUAUGAAUGUAUUAUUUGUUAAAACGUCCACAUGAGCGAAUUUGGAUAUUUACAAAGAUAUUAUUAUAAAACUAUUAAAUCUAAUUUUACCUAAAUUUCCAUGCACUUAAAAUUAUAUGUAACAUUGGAUUGGAAUUUUUAUAAAUUAUAAGUUAUAAAUAUUAUUAUAAAACUAUUAAAUGUAAUAAACUUUUAUCUAUUUUAUUUAAGCAUACUUAUCUCGUACAAUUUCCUUAAACUUUAUAUAAUUAUACUUUCCUUUUUUUUAAUUCUCUAUUAGAACUGGCUGUGAUCUCUCUCAACAAAAUUUUAGGCCAAUUUUUUAGGUUUAGGCUUGAUUCAGUCUGAAAAAUGGGUUUAAAAUUUUGUUCUUGUCUAAAUCGAAUUAUAGAAGCCAAAUUUGACCCGAUCUGACCCGGCCCAUAUUAUUAUUUCUAGAUUAUUUUAUUACAUACAACAAAUUUUAAAAAAAUUAUAAUAUAUCAAAUACACUUAAAAAUAUUAAAAUAAAUAUUAAAACAAUAAACAAAUUUAAAAUACAUUAAAAGUUCUUUAUACUAAGAUAGUUGCAACUGAAAUAAUAACAAAAUUAACAAUAAAAUAUAAGUUCUACAAUAUCCAAAUAAUAUUAAAAACGACAACGAAACAACAUUAAAAAGAGUAACAAAACAAUAUAAAAAAUACACAAAAAAAAACAAAAAUAAUUGUACAAACAGCAAAAACAACAAAAAUAACAACAAAAAGAGCAAAAAAAAUAAUAGCAAAAAACAACAACAAAAUACCAAGAACAACAAAAAAAACAAGAUAAUUUUUGUUAAAAAUAAUUAAUUUAUUCAGGCUAAGCCGAACCUAGGCCAAAAGACUUUUAUCUGAGGCCCUGCCUGUCUAGAAAACGAACCUCAUUUUUUGUUCAAACCCAUUUUUUAGAUUUAUAUUUUUGUCGAAAUCCUCCCAUUUUUCGGGUGGACAGCCUAGCCCAUGAUCAAAUCUAUUCUCUAUUUAUCCAUUAUCAUAUUUUGUUAACACAUUUAUGUAUUUCACAUGAAUUCAUUAAAAUUCAAUUACCAUUAUUUUUUUUAAUAUCAGUAUUUCACAAAUUUAAUUAUUAGAUUAUUGCUUUUUAACUCAUUCGCAUUUUAUUUUUAUUUUUUGAAAUAAUAUAGCUGGAGUAUAUUAAUAAAUAAAAAAAUAAUCUAACAGCCAUAAUAAAUGAAAAACUAAAACCCCUUAAACAGUCAAAUAUCAUUUCCUAAAAACAAUAAUUAUACCCCCGCCUAAUUAAUGGACUCUGCCUUUUGAAAAGACAUAUCACAAUCAAAAGUCCAUUUCCAAAUAUUUCCUUUCCCAAAACUAGAUCCUUAUGGCUUUUAGAAUCAAAAGCGUUCAACAUUGGCCAGAAAAUCACCACUAUUUAUUUUCUCCUCCUAACUCUUACUUUCCUUCACUACUGUUUUCCCCGAUCGAUAAGCAACCCAACAAUACCUUAAACCCGAUUUUCAUUUCACAGUACCAAAGAUACUCCCCCAACUGUUCCCCAUCGAUCUUUCUCCACCGCCUCCUCUAUAAAAUUCGACAACCCGUUAAGAAGAUAAGUAUUCAUUUCCCCCCUUAAUCCUUCAAUGGCCAAAAGAUGAGCCACUUGGUUCCCCUGCCUUUGAAUAUGUAAGAAUACACAGUUUUUAAAUCUCUUCCUCAAAGAGUUUAGAUCUAAGAUGCAAGCACCGAUGCAUGACUCAUCUUUCCUGUUUUCCGGUAGUUUCUUUAUCACUGUAAGCGAAUUGCCUUCGAUCACCACAUCUUGAAACUCCAAAUCAAUGCCCAAUCAGACUGCUUGGAGAUGUGUAAUAGCUUUCGCAGCAAACACAGUUGGUAUUUGAUUAUUAAAAAUUGUUGUUGACCUCAGAACAACCCCCUUUGAUUUCUGAUAACAAUCACCUAACAUGAUUUUAGGGAAUGAGCUUGAAAAGCCCCAUCAAAAUUUAUCUUUAUGAAAGCGUCCUCUGGAUGCCUCCAUCUUACAAUCUCAACUCGAGUAAUAGGUAACCGUUUAUUAAAGGCAUCUAAUUCUUCUAAUUGAGCUUUAAUCCUUUCUACUAUUACUUGAGCCUGAUUUUUAAUCCCAUCAUGCACAUAUUUAUUUCUUUUAGUCUAUAACACCCAAAGGGUACACCCCACCAUCCUGCAAAUCUAAUUAGACGAGGUAGAAAAUAAAUUAUCAAGCCAAUCUUGAAAGAUAACAACAGUGAACUCCAUAUACCAAUAAAUGUUUAAUUUGUUCCUCACUUCUACUGCAGUGAUACAGUCCCGAAACGAGUGCUCAAGAGUUUCUGAGCCAUUUGAACACCUUGGGCACACAGGAGACCCAUUAAUCUUCUAUUGUAGAGGUUGUAGAAAUUAGGAAUAUAAUUUCAAAAAAUCUUCUAAACUAUAAUUUUUAUCUUCUUCAGCAGGUUAAGUUUCCACGACUUCUUGAAAAAAUUUGUAUAAUUUAUUUGAUUUCAGUAUAAGGCUUAGAUAAAAAUGAAUUUUGUAUAAGAAUGUUGUACCCACUAUGAAUCGAGAACACCCCAGACGCCUCACCUCACUAGGCAAUCGAAUCCUCCUGAAGUGUCUGUGCUAAAGGAAUACAUAGAAUUUUCCUUGCUUCCUCAGCACUAAACAUAUUGGUAAUCAACUAAAAAUCUCACUACCCAAUUUGUUGAUCAAUUAAAUCAGAGACAUUUACUAUAUUUUGGCCAAUAGAUCUUAUCUGAAUUUUGUCCCCCUCCAAUCCAAGAACCCACGCCUUUGUCCAAACAUUAAUUUUGGAACAAGUACCACACACCUACACAAACCCUCUUGGAGUAAUCCCUCUAUAGACCAUAUGAUCUUCUAGGCAUAAGAGGGGUAAGCUCCCAAGUUUGAACUCAUGAAAUUCAACUCCAGGUAAUACUUUACUUUUAGCAAUCUUGCUAAUAACGUGUUUGUAUUAGUCAUUAAAUGCCAACCUUGCAUUGCUAGAAGUGCCAAAUUAAACUUCGUUAAACUUCAAAAACCCAUUCCCCCAUUCUUCUUGAGAUCACAUAAAUUCAACCACUAACACCAAUUAAUCCCUUUCUUUUCCCCAUACAUUUGCCACUAAAAUCAACUAAUAAUUCCUUCCGAAUCUAAGCAUAGGGACUUUGAUAAAAGAAAACAGGACAUAACAUAAAUAGGGAUGGCCUAAAGAACACUUUUUUAUAAAUACCUCAUUACCUCCCUAUGAUAAUGGCUUCACACACUAACUCUUAAUACGGCUUAGCAUACGAUCUUUCAACAAAUUAAAAGCUUAUUUCUUUUUUCGUCCCACCAUAUUAGGAAGGCCUAAAUAUUUUUCCAGGUCUAAUGAAAAACGUACCUCUAAUUCUUCAGAUAUCAUUCUUUUUUGUUGUUCUUGUAUGUUUGAACUAUAAAAAAAAAAAAGAAUUUAUCAAAGUUAACACAUUGACCCAACUUCUCUCAUACUCCCACAAAAUCUGCUUUAAGACCAAUGAUCAUUCUCUUGUGGCUUCACCAAAAAGAAUACAAUCAUCAGAAAAUAAUAAAUGAGAUAUUUCUGGCCCUCAACGAUAGAUUUUUGCCUUUUUGAUAAACCAUCAUUCAUCACUAAUCUCAUAAAGGCUGAAAGACCCUCACUACAUAUUAGAAAAAGAUAAAGGCUAAGUGGAUCACCUUGAUUAAGGCCCCUAGCUAGUAUAACGACCUCUCAUGUUUCCUCGUUAAGCACUACAGAAUAAGAAAUCGUACUAAUGCAUUCCAUAAUGAAAUUAACCCAACCAGUUGAAAAAACCCAUUUUUUUGCAUUACUUCCCUCAAUAACAUCCACUCCACUCUAUCUUAUGCUUUACUUAUAUCAAAUUUCAAUGCAAAAAAACUCUCCCUCCACUUUUUUUUUUUCAAAACAUUCAAAACCUCAUAUGCUAAAAGAACAGUAUAUGUGAUUUGUCAACCCAGAACAAAAGCACUUUAUGCCUCAUUGAUACAAUCAUUCAACACUUUCUAGAAUCGAUUUACCACUAUUUUCAAGAUAAUUUUAUAAAGAACCGGACAUAGACUAAUGGGUUAAAAAUGAAAUAACCUGGUCGGAUUUGCAAUUUUGGAAUAAGAACAAUGUAAGUACGAUUGAUCUCCAAUAAGGAAGUUCCUCCAUUAAGAAUAUCUAGACAAAAGGAACCAAUAUCUUAGUCUACAAUAUGCCAAUACUCCUGAUUGAAUGGCAAAAUUUUAAUUUUGAUGAAAUUAAAAACAAACAAAUGAAAUUAAAAGUUUCCUAUGCAAAUUUAUUUUUAAUUUCAACUUAAACCAACAUAGGAGAGAGCUCUUUAAGCUGAUUCUUCAUAUUUUUACUUCAUGUGAGUUCAAUUCUUACCAAUUUCUUGUAAUUUUUAUAUUUUUGAGAUUGUUAUAAUUAGGUCCAACUAAACCAUACAUUCGUUUUUUAUUUUAAUAAAAAAUUUGAAAGUUUCUAUUGAUAAAUAUUAGAUGUUUUUGAUGAAUAACAUGGAUUUAGAGCUUUGAUUAUGUUGUAUGAUGACUUUAUAAAGUGAUUUUGUUAAAUAUUGAUUUUAGGAUUAAAUUGUGAAAAGGUUAAAAUAUUAAGAUUUGAUAGUGAAUUUUGGGUUUAUUAAGGGCUGUAUGAGGGCCUAGAAUAUUUGGAUAUAUUAUUGAUUGAAGAAAAUUAAUUAAUUUGAUAGAUUAACUAAUUAAGGGAUUAAAUUGUAAAAGUUUGGGGCAUUUGCGUGAAUUCAAAAAAUAAAAGGGUAUUAAUUGUAAAAUGAAAUGGAAAUGAAAUAUAUGCUAAUAAAUGAGUAACUUUUUAUUCUAGAUCAAGAUCCUGUAGAUACUCGUGAAAAAGAAAAAAUAGCAGAAUCGUCUCUAAACUUCUACAAUUACUACAAUUCAGUCUAGGUAAGUUCAUAUGAUUAAAAUUUAACAUUUGUAUAAAUUUUUGAAUGGUAUUAUGCAUUUAUUCUAUUGUUGGAAAUAGAUUAUUUUUGGAAUUAUAAUAUUGAAUUAGAUAUUCGGUUUGAAUUGAAUGCGGGAUUUGAGUACAUUUGCAAUUUGGUGUAUGAUGGUAUUGGAAGGAGAUAUCAAUAUUUUACCUAAGUAAAACUAGGGUCCAGCAUUUGUUGCGAACUUUCGUGUUUUACUUUCUGUUUGGUGUGAUUGGGUGGAUUAGCUCUUAUGAGCUUCUGUUCAGCUUUCGAGCUUGGCGUAUUCGGUAAGACUAACUCUUAUGAGCUUCUGUUGACGAUGUACUCUUAUCUAUAAGUCGUUCUUUAAAUGGAAAGAUUUUGAUAAAGUAACUUAUUUAAUGAAUUUGAAAGACAUGUUAUUUAUGUUUGUAUUGAUUUGAAUACGAAUGUAUUAUCAAGUGAAGUUGUGAAUGACAGGGAGUUGACAUAAAUGAUUUUACUUAUUUGACUUGUUAUAGUAGGUUUGGUAAGAUUUUUAUUUAACCCGUCGAACUUACUAAGCUUCAUUAAGCUUAUUUGUAUAGUUUAAUGUCUUUGUAGAUUAUUGGAAGAUUGGACGAUCGGAUCAGCACUCAAGUCAUAUUAUCCAGCUUAUCUCAAUAGUUUUUGAAAUGUUAAAUAAGGUUUAUAUGGCAUGUAUAGGCUUUCGUACGGUCUUAGUCAAACUUUAGCUUAUGUAAAUAUUAUAAAUAAUAUUUUGUUUAUAUAAUCAUCUUAUAUAUUGGUAUGAGAAUAAUGUAUAAUUAUGAUGUUAGUAUAAGUGAUAUAUGUAUGUAUGUAUUUAAAUUGUAGUGAACUUGGGUUACUUUGUUAGGUAAUUAUUUAGGUAAGUUUGGAUGCUUAGUUGACAUGUUUUUAAGUUGUCAUUUGAGGUGCCUAAGGGAAUAUUGGUUGUAUGUGGUGAUAAUACAUGUCUAAGACUUGAUUUUAGCUUGUUUUGAAUGCCUUGUUAUGACUUGAUGAUGUGCAAUUUGUUGAAUCUAGGUUGAUGUCAAUUUGGGUGAGAAAAAUGUGGCUUGAAAAAUGGCCUAUUUUCUUUCACACGGGCAGAAAUAUAGGCGUAUGUCUUAGCCAUAUGUAACACAUGGUCAAGUGACACGGCCAUGCGUCCUUUGUAUCUUUUUAAGAAUGCAAGUCAGUAUGUUCACACGGCCUAGCACAUGGACGUGUGACUUGUUUGUGUAACCCAAGUCAGAGAAUUAUACGGGCACGGACACGGACUAAGACAUGGCUAUGUGUCCCUAUUUUAAAUGCCCUCAUGGCCUAAGACACGGGCAUGUCUCCUGACCGUUUGAGUCAUGCGGCCUAGCCACACGGCCAUGUGACCCCUGCAGCUUUAAAAAAUUCCAAUAUUUUUUGAAAAAUUCUUUGAGUGCCUGAUUUAGUCCUGACUUGUUUCUAAUGUGUAUUUUGGGCCCAGAGGGCUCAUAUAAAGGACAAUAUGUUUGAUUUCGAUUGGUUUCUGCCAUGAAUGUUAUAUUAUAUGAAAUGUCUGUUUAUUUAAUCUAUAAACUUCGGUAAUACUCCGUAAUCCUAUUUCAGUGAUGGAUACGAGUUAGGGGUGCUACACCCCAGUUAAGUUACUGCAGAUUUUUUCAUUCUAGAAGUUAGGUAUCAAUACUUGUCUCUAAGGGUACCACACCCUACGUGCAGGAGACCUUAAAACAUGCCAAAAUAUUUUCUUUUCAUGCCAAAAUAAAUACCUUUCAUUCCCAUACCUCAAUUAUCCAUUUUAAACAUAAAAAACCAUCAAAAUAACAUGUGCACUACUUUCAUACACAAAAAGUUGCUCCAAUCAUAACUUGACACGUAUACCUUAAUAGUAAUGAUAAUGACAGUUACAUUGGGAACCCAAUAAAUACAUCAUAAUAUGUCGCACGCUUCAAUAGUUUCAUUAUUAAAUACAUAAGAAUAUAUAUAUGAAGCUUUCUACCUCACUAUAAAUCUAACAAAAGCUAAAAAGCCUUAAUAAUUCAAAUUUCAAAUUUCAAAAAUAGAUACAUGUAUAAAUAAAAACUUAAAUAAAAUAAAAGCACACAUAAAGUACAUAGUGCUUCGAAAUGAAUUUCUAAUUAGCUAGCCAAAAUUUCAAUAUCUACACCAGUGAUGCGAACUUCUCCAAUAGGCUCAAGAAGGUCACUUUAUAACCUUCUCUCGCUUGGGGGACAAUUGUUAUACCUACGUAGUAGACCUCAUGGACCUUCUAGUGUACCUAAAGAGAACUUGACACGUGUCUCCUGACGUAACCGACAUCACAAAGGAGCAUGCAUAGUCAACCUACCAACCAGCAUGGAAGUCCAAAUUCAUUGAUUACCAAGCAUUCCUAAUUAGGUCGUAGUAUCAUUGUCACUACCAAAAGUGCCAAAUCAAACUUCCAUAUCAAUUGCCACGUAGUGAAGUUUGUCUCCCACUAUAAAAGGACCAUGCAAAACUCCCACACACUCAUGUACUCACUUUUUUCUACUAGAACAAAGAAACUACUUCACAAGAGAUUCAUCUUCCUACCUUCUCUAAACAAACCAUUGUGUAAACCACUAACUUCCUUCCCUAUUAAUCCUAGUGAUUGACAAAUUCAUUAAAAAUUAUUAAACACAAAUAAAAUAAAGUACUAAACAAAUGUGUUUGUAAAGAUCUACAGUAAGCUAAACUAUAUUGAAUGCUGAAAAGGGAUUUUUCUUUCAUUCUCUUUUUCAACAGUAUAUUAGUAGUAUUUAUAGAGUACAUGAGUUGCUUAGUAACUAUUGCUAACAGCAUAACUGCUUGAAUAAUAAACUAACAGCUAAUUAGACUACCAGCUAACAGACUAACAGCUAUUAGACUAACAGACUCUAACAUUCACCCAGCUUCCCAACAGGCAACACCCGAAGAAGACUUCGAAAUUGAGCAAAGAACAAAACAGAGAGUGGUUUGGUCAGAAUGUCAACAACCCGAUCAUAAGCAGGUACUUCACCAAUAAAAAUAGAUCCAUCAGCUACUUUCUCGUUGACAAAAAAUAGAUUAAGCUCUAUAUGUUUGAACUUGGAGUGUAAAACGGGAUUAGCAGCUACUGUAACUUUACUACAAUUGCCACACCAAAUAGUAGGUGGAUCGAUAGACUGAAGUUGUAACUCAUUGAAUAACGAUAUCAACCAAGUAACCUUACUAGUGGCUACAGCAAGACUUCGAUACCCAGCCUCAGUCGUAGAUCGUGAAACAACUUGUUGUUUCUUGGAGCACCAGGAAACUGUGGUGUGACCAAAAUACACACAAUAGCCCAUUAUAGAUUGGCGAGCAUCAAAAUCCAGCCUCCAGUUAGCAUCAGUAUAACUGAUUAGAGACAGUCAUGUAGAGGGACGAAAAAUAAUCCCAUAGUCAAGAGUACCACACAAAUACCUUAAGAUUCGCUUUAAUGUAACCAUAUAAACAGUAGUAGGUUCAUGCAUAAAUUGACAUAUACGAUUUACUGCGUAGGAAAUAUCAGGCCGAGUCAACACUAUAUACUGUAAGGUACCUGCAAGACUUCUGUACCCAGUGGGAUUAGGUAGACAAUCCCUGUCAUUCUUAGACAUAGUGGACGAGCUAAUCAUUAGAGUAUGGACACUCUUUACAUAAGUCAUAGUACUCUUGUCUAGAGAUCAUAGAUGUACUUUCGCUGGCAAAGAUGAAGACACCCUAAGGAUGAACGAGUAACCUCAAUCCCUAGAAAAUAGUAGAGAUCACCUAUAUCUUUAAGAGAAAAUUUCUUAUUCAAUUGCUAGAAAAAACUACUUAUACAGUAAGGCAUGCUUCCAGUAACAAUAAUAUCAACCACAUACACAAAAACAUAAAGAGUGGAGUCAAGCGUAACUCUAACAAACAAAAAUGCAUCAGACAUUGAGUGAGUAAAACCAAUAGAGAAGAGAAAACACUUCAAUUUAUCAAACCAGGUACGCGAAGCUUGACGUAGACCAUAUAAAGCUUUCUUCAGACGAUAGACCAAAGGUUCGCCAUUUGAACCAUAUUGGACAUACCUCAGAGGUUGCUGCAUGAACACAUGAUCAUCAAGAUUUCCAUUUAAAAAGGCAUUAUUUACAUCUACCUGUCGAAGUUGCCAACCCUUGAAAAUAGAAAUGGAAAGUAUGAUACGAAUAGUAGCAGAUUUGACUACUAGACUGAACAUUUUCUUGAAAUCACACCUAGGUACUUGAGAACAUCCUUUAGCUACUAACUGAGCCUUACACCGGGCGACAGUGCCAUCAAGAUUUUUCUUUAUCCUGAAUAGCCAUUUGCAUCCGAUUACUUUGUAAGUAAUUGGUAAUGAAGCAAGAUCCCAUGUGGAAUUACGAAUGAGAGCAUCAUACUUAACUUGGGUAGCAGCAAACCAUUCGAUGGUAGAAAAUGCUUCUUCAAUUGUAAGAGGCUCGAUAGCUUCAACCAACAAAGUUUUGGACUUAAAAAUGCCAGCCUUAAAUCGAGUGACCAUCGGAUGAGUAUUUGUCAGUGGAAAAUGAGGCACAGGAGAGGAUGGACGACAGGCGAUGAUAGAGUAUUGGAAGCAGUCCUGUUUGGAUUGAGAAUACCAUCGUUGUUGGAUAAAGGAUAUGGUUCAUGAUCAGAACCUAGUUCAGGCUGAGGAGUAUUGGAGAUAGAGGGUGAAUGACACAUAAUAAGAGGUGGUGAUGACUCAGGGGGUUGAGCUGACGAGGAUGCUACAGGUGGACAAGAGACAGAAUUAACAAGAGAAACAUUUGUUGGUGAGAGAGAGUGAUCAAACGAUGAAGUGGAACCUCCCAAAGUAGACAUACAAGAUAAAAAUCGUUGUUCAUCAAACACAACGUGAUGAAAGAUGACUAUCUAACCAUCCAGUGUGAGACAUUGAUAUCUUUUAUGUUGUGAAAUAUAUCCCAAAAACGUACAUGGUUGAGAAUGAAAAUCCAACUUGUGACUUUUGUUUAAUAGUGGAAAUCCAACUUGCAACUAAAAACAACAACACCCGAAUACUCGUAGAUGAUCAUAUGUGGGAUCAUAUUUAUGAAGAACUUUAAACAAAAACUCUCCUUUCAGUGCCGUGGUAGGAAGACGAUUGAUGAGGUGGACAGCAUAACAAAAUACAUAUCCUCAAUAGUCCAUAGACAGAUUUGUUUCGGCCAAAAGGGUGAUACUCAUGUCAACAAUGCGCCGGUGUUUACGCUCAGCCACUCCAUUUUGUUCAAACGUGUGUAGACAAGAUAGUCUAUGGAUUAUCCAUUGAGCUGCCAAAAUAGAUGUGAAAGCUUGAUACUCGCGCCCUAGUUACUCUAAAACUAUUUGAUACGUUUCCCAAACUGUGUUUUAACUAACUGCUAGAACUGAAUAAAACAAUCCAUUACUUGUGAAUUUUGAUGAAUAAGAUAAAUCCAAGUAAACUGAGUGCACAUGUCAACAAACGAUACAUAAUACCUAUUACGCCCACAGACAACAGACGCAAGCCCCCAAAGAUCAGAGACAACCAAAUCAAAUAGAGUAUUGUUGUAAUGCCCUAAUUUUCGGGAAUUCUGUGAAUGUUGGCAUAGGUUUAAUUAUGUUAGUGGGCCUCUAGAAGGCCCAAGCUUAAGAUAGAACCCGACAAUUUUAGUUAAUUUUUGUUCCUUAAGAAAAAUGGGGUGAAAUUAUGAAAUAGGACCUAUGUGAAAAUGUUUGAAAAUGCUAUAGGCUAAAUUGAAGUGGCCAAAUAAAUAAGAGUGCAAAAUAGGAGGAUUUGCAUGACAAACCUCCCAUUUUACAUGAAGUGGCCAGCCAUCAUGUUGUUGUAGACAAUAUGAGCACUUGAUAUCCAUAAUUCAUGGUACAAAUUGAUAAUGGGUUAGGUAAAUGUUCCAUGAUAAUGGUUUAGGUAAAUGUUCCAUGAUGGGCAUUUCAUGUCUUUUGUAUUAAAGAGUUAAAUGGAUGAAAUAUGAAAUUUUAUUAAAAGAAAAAGGGGUGAAAAGAACAAAGUUUUGUCCAUCUUUGUUCAUCAUAGCCGAAAGUUAGAGAAGAGAAAGGAGAGGAGAAAGCUCUUGAAUGUUUGGUCACUUGGGGAAGAAAAUUGAAGGUAAGUUCAUGGUAGUUUACUUCUAUCUUGAUGUUCAUGAGUUCUUCUUGAUUCUACCUUAACUCUUGAAGUAUAUUUUGGUUUUUGGUUGUGUUGUGAGCAUUUGGUCAUGAAUUAAAAUGAAGGAAAUGGUUGUUGUUUCAUGUUCUUUUGAUGAAAAAUGGAAGAUAGGUGAAGUUGAGCCAAACAAAUGAACAUGCAUGUGCCUUAGAUGCUAAAGGGAAAAAUCGGCUAACAUGUUGUGCUUUAAAAUGAUGAAAUGGAGAUUAUAUUUUAGUAAAAUCAUAGAUAUGUGAUGAUUGAUUGGUGAUAUACAUGUUUAAAUAACAUGCAUGCAAGUUAUGGGUGAAAGAGUGAAUUUGGUAAUAAAUCUACUUGGGACAGCAGGAGUAAUGUGACUUUGGAAAAUCACCAUAAAUUAUGGGAGAUGAAUUAGAAGCUGAAUAAAUUAUGUAAUUAAAUCUUGUUGAGUCUAGUUUCAAAUGAAAUAAACGAGAACAUAUUUUGAAUUCUGUACAAUGAGAAAUUUGAUUCGUAAUGAAGAGUAGUCAGAUUAGUCAAACAGUGAAACAUGCGAAACUUUGAGAAAAAUCUGGUAUUGAUUGGCCAAACCAAAAAUUCUGAAAAUUUUAUGGAUAUAAGAUAUAUGAGUCUAUUUUCAGGACAAAUUAACGGCACUUGAUUUGGAGUUUCGUAGCUCCAGUUAUAAAUGAUUUAGUGACUGUUGCUUAGGAAGAUAGCUUGCAGUGAAAUAAUGAUUAUGUGGUAAACAUUGACAAAAAUUUGUUAAUGAGUUGCUUAUUGAUUUCUUAUAAGCUUACUAUGAUCUGUAGGUGUGGUUGGCCGAAUAUUGUAAGGGUUUAAUACGUAGUUUGUAUUUGAAUAGGUAGAUUAACAUGUUAGUAAUCCAAUUGUAGGCGGUUCGUGUGUGGAUCUCGUCAGCAUAUCGUCGCAAACAGGUGUGUAACUAACACCCUCUUUCUUAGUCUGGAUCGGCAAAAGUCGAAAAGCCGAAAUGCCGAAAACUGGUAUUUUGUAGAUUUGCGAGUGUGCGAAUGCUCGUGAGGUAAAUCGAUUAAUGUUUUUGGUAAGCUGUAAAAUUUAGAUUGCAAAGUGCAUGAUUUCUGUGCCCUCGAUAUUUUUGGGCUUAAUGGGCCAAAAUUGGAAUGAUGGGCCAAUGGGCCCAAUUCGAUAAGAACCCUCGGUACGUGAUUCUGUUAGUACUUGAAAAGUAGGAAUAUGCAUGAAAAACCCUAAAAUAGAUAAAUUACUGAAAUACCUUUAAAAGUGGAAAAUUUACAGUUUUACCCCUAGUAGAUAAAUUACCGAAAUACCCCUAGGGUUAAAUUGACCUAAAUGCAUGUUUGACUGUUGUUAUUUACUGCAUGCCAUGUUGUUAUUAUCUGAUGCAUGGGAUUGGGAUAUUGACGGAGGAAGUACUGAAAGUGGCUUGUCCAUGUACUAGAGGCUUUGCCUCAAUUUACUGUUAACUGAGCAGCAAAGCUACAACUGUGGAGUGUUGGUCUGGGUGGGUUGAGUUAUUCCCCACAUGGAGUGUAGGGCUGGUACGGGUGGAGUGUAGUGGUUGGUGGGUUGAGUAGUCUCCCCAAAUGGGCUUGCAUAUGUUAUUGAUGUUGCAUGUAUUUUGAAAUGGGCCUAUGGGCCAUACUGUUAUCUGAAUAAGGGGCUAAGGCCCAGUUUAUUGUAAUCUGAAAAGGGCUCUGGUCCAAUACUACUGUUACCUGAAUGGGCUUAGGCCUAAUAGGCUUGAGCUGACUUGGGCUUUGAAUGGGUUUUCCUUACAUACUGAGUUUCCCCAAACUCACCCCUUUUAUUUUCAUCCACGCAGGAAAUCCCCAACCAUAGUGGGCUUGGAGCUGUGAGGGAAUUCGGAGUGGCCACCCGUUCUGAAAGUUUGGUUUUCUUCUGGUGAACUGGACAUCCUAUUGUUUACGUUGAGGUUUGGGUUUUUAAAUGUAAUAAGACUGCUUAAUUAUUUUUGAUGGUUUUAAUAUGUAUUACUAAGAUAGGUAUUACUUAUUUUAACUGUUGAAAUUGGAUAGCUUUAGGGCGCGUUUUCAAAAAAAAAAUAAUUGAUUUCAAAAUAACACGACAACAAGCAAAGUUUCCACAAUGAAAGUAUUUUCCAAAAUUAAUCACUUUUCCUAAAAAUGACUUAAUCAAAUCGGUUUCCUAGAAAUAUACAUGACGUUAAGGUGUGGCAAUGGCGGUGUGCAUGUCUAGGAUUGGAUCCGAAGGGAGCUUGGUACUUAAGUAGUCCGAUAGACUCACCUCCUCUUUUCCUGUUUCCUACCUGGUGCAUAACUUCCAUUCACUUUAACCUAUAAUGAAAUUAUCUUUUAAAACACUAAAUAGGUUUUUCUGGAUCAACAAUAUAAAAUGUUUUGAACGCUUCGAUGUGGCAUGUUGGAUCCGGCCAUAACGUCUGGGCCGGGUUUGGGGUGCUACAAUUGUAUUCAGUAAUAGAGUUUGGAAAGGGCAAUUUAUGAGACUUCUCUUUCUGACAUGCAGUACAAACAUUAUCAAGACGAAAUUUAUUGGAAACAAUAUUACACUUAUCUAAAACAUAUUUAACAAUAGAAGCAGAGGGAUGACCAAGGUGCAUGUGCCACAAAGUAAAAUUAUCACAACUGUCAGACCGAGCCUGAAGUCUAAUGUUGGCAAGAGAAUGAGCUUCAAUAGACUGAGUAGACACAACCGGCAGAGAAAAAUAAUAGAGUCCAUUAUGAAUAUGGCCCUUCAGCAAAAUUUCCUGUCUCUUGAUGUCAUUGACCACACAUUAAGUCGGGUGAAAUUCAAAAAACACAUUAUUGUCAAUGGCAAACUGAGACACAGGCAGAAGAUUCUUCUGUAUAGUCGGUACACACAAAAUAUUAGAUAAUCGAAGCAAUUUAUGGUGUGCAUGAAAUACUGAAUUCUCAAUAGACGAGAUCUUGGUGGGAGUCCCAUCACUCAUUGAGAGAGAAGAUAUACCUGAAUAAGGUGUAUUGUCAUUUAAUGUAGAAACAUCGUGACACACAUGAUGUGAGGUCUUAGAAUCUGGAUAUCAAGACGCGAUUCCGACGGGCAUAGGAAUAUACGAAUCAGUACCAUCAAGGUUGGCCUAAAUUGAGUGGCAUGAAUAUUAGACCCAGUAGAAUUGGAUACAUCAGAUGUAUGCAUAUCGAGUAUAUGAGGGAGUCCAAUACACGAAUCAGACCCUGUGUAAACACAAACCUGUUGUUUAGUCCACCAUGAAACAAACGACCCAAAAGCAUUACAAGCAUCGUCAUUGGAAGGCCCAAAGUCACGUCCUCGCUUAAGAGGAGUUUCAAACUCUACAUGAUUAGAUUUUGGCCCAGUUGAAAAAUUAUUUGCUGGUGGCCCAAUAUUAUGAUUCGGACCAGAAGGCCUAUCACGCAUGGAUGGACCAGGAUAGUAACCAUAGAGAGUUGGCCUAACAGUAGCAGACCCGAAACUAGCAGCAGGUUGCCCAAGAAAGGAGUCUGGUCCAAGCGCUAAAUAAAAAAGAUACUGCCCAAGCCGAACAAGCAUGCUUGACCCAGUCGUGUGCCCAAAACCAUUAGCGCAAACAUCAAAAGGAUUAGAAGGCGUACUAGACGAUUGAGGCAAAUAAGUCGCUCCACAAAAUCCUUCGCCAGUAAAAAGAGCAUUUGGCAUCAUUAAUGGGCCAUUAAACCCAGAUGAACUCGUGACGAAAACGAAAGUUUAGCAGCCGAUCUUUGAGCCCCAUGACCGAUUGGAGUUGAAGUUUUGUCUACCCCUAACAACAGACUAGCAUACUCCCGAUUAUAGCGAUAGUAGCAUCACUGGGCUAAAUGCCCAAAUCAGUCAUAGAUCUGACAUUGAAUUCGGGAAUGGAAUCCUCUGCCUUGACCACCAGAUGGAGGACGACCAUUCCAGACAAAUGUCACCACCAAUGGUGAUGGAACAGAUUCCACAAAAUUGGCAUGAAUCAGCACAUCCUCUAAAACCGCACGUAUCUGAUAAUUCUCAUAUUCGAUAAGCAUAUCAAUUAGACAGUGAAAUGGUAUAGGUUUAGAUGAAAACGAUGCUAACAUAAUCACCAUAUCAAACUCCGGAAGUAAACCUGCAAGAACAAUUUCAACUUUCUCCGCCUCCGAGAUUUGAGAACCAGAGGCUUCGAUCAAGGCACAUGUGCUUUGUAUUUUUGCUACAUAUUCAUUGAUAGAGAGGUUACCUUUCUUAAGUGAGUGCAGCUUAUGAUAAAUACGGGACAACUUCACUCCGGUGACUACUGCGAAGAGUCGAGUGGCGUACACCAAACAUUAGACGCCGAUAGAGCAUUUGUAAAGGAAGAUAACAGAGACGGAUUAAUGGUGGAAAGAAACCAGGAGGUAAGCAACCGAUCCUAUUGAAGAAAAGGCGAGGCAUCUGGAUUUGGAACAAAUGAUCCGUCAGCUGAGGUCCCGUCCAAAAAACUAAUAAGUUCAUAAUCUUCAAUGAUUAGCCGAAUAUGCUGCUGUCACUGAACGAAAUUGCCAUUGUCCAAUUAAAUAGUGUCAUGGCGGGGAAAAGAGUGAACAAGUAGAGCAUUAGUAAAUGGCUGACAUCCAUGCUCUACAGAGGCCGAGUCAUCAGAAGCUGCGGUGGCCAUGAGAACUAUCGAAGAUUAGAUCUCCAGGAAUAAGGCGACUGAUACCAUGUAAAGAUCUAUAGUAAACUAAACUAUAUUGAAUACUGAAAAGGGAUUUUUCUUUCAUUAUCUUUUUCAACAGUACAGUAAUAGUAUUUAUAGAGUACAUGAGUUGCUUAGUAACUAUUGCUAACAACAUAACUGCUUGAAUAACAAACUAACAGCUGAUCAGACUACUAGCUAACAGACUAACAACUAUUAGACUAACAGUCUCUAACAGUGUUUUUAGUAAUAAAUGAUAAUACUAAUUUCUAAUGCAAAUCAAUAUAUUAAUGUAUCAUAAUCAUAUUGUUCAAAAAUUAAAAGAAGACACGUAUAUAUGCUUUAAACUUAAAAAUGGGUUUAAAAUUUUUUCCCAUGCCAAUUUUAAGUGCAAAUUAAUAUAAAAAUGUAAUUAAAAAGAUAAAAAAAAUGAAGUAUAGAAAAUACAAAGGAAAAGCCAAAACAUAAUAAAAAUUUUGAUAAUUCCAAUCAAUAAUAUUAUUUGUAAUACUGUUAAAUUUGAAUAUAAAAUUUUAAAAGUUGAGUGAUUCUUGCCCCCAAAAAAUUAAUUAGGAGUGAUUUAAGCUAAAUAUUAUAAAGACACUAUAGAUUUUAAUUAUAAAUUAAAAAUAUAAAUUUAAAAUUAUAUAUGAAUUUUAAUUUAAGCAUAAAUUUUUAUUUAAUGUAAUUAUAGUUAAAGCAAUCACACAGUGGAAUGGCAGGCCUAACAAAAAUAGAUCACGUGUCUGUUUGCAGAGAAGGAUAAAAUACUAUAUGCUCUUGUUGAGAGUCGAACUCAAGACCUCCCGCUUACUAAACGAGUGCUCUAACCAACUGAGCUACAAGAAUUGCUGAAAGCAUGACAGAAAGUUGUUAAAAGAACCAUGAGUUUCAUGACUAAAGUAGAUUACAUGUCAGAACUCAAAAGAGAAUAAAAAGCACCUUGCUCUUGUUGAGAGUCGAACUCAAGACCUCCCGCUUACUAAACGGGUGCUCUAACCAACUGAGCUACAAGAGCCUUGAUGAAAAUUUGAUAGAAUUAACCUAAAGAACUUAGUUUCUUUAACUAAAGUAGGUAUCAGACACCAAAAGAGAAAAUAAAUUACAACUUGCUCUUGUUGAGAGUCGAACUCAAGACCUCCCGCUUACUAAACGGGUGCUCUAACCAACUGAGCUACAAGAGCCAGAUGGUAACGGUUCGGUUAUUUACUUAUAUUAAUUUUAAUAUAGUUUUAGUAUUUACUCUAUUCCAGAAUUCCUUGCACAUGUAUGAACAAAAGUGGCCCUGUCCAAAGAGAUAAAACAGGAAGCUUUUAUCCAUGGUGCGGUUCCUUGGGAACGAGUAAAGGUUUACAAGAGGGCCCCUGCUAACAUUUCAAGCUUCCAUUUACCACCAAUACAUGCAUGCCAUUAAUGUUGAAAUGGGCAAAGCUUUACAGAAAUAUCAGAAAACAAAAAAGAAGAUGAUGGUUUUUUAUGGAGAGGGAUCUGGUUUAUGUUUCCUCAGGUCAUCCAAUUAGAUAAUACCCAAUAUUAAAUGUAACAUUUAAGCACUUUAACCUAUUGAUUGUAACUUUGAGGAUUCCAGCUUGUGUUAAAUUAGAUGAGAAUUUAAUUGAAAAUCGUUUCUAAGAUAAAAAUUAGACAACUGUUAAAAAUAAGAUUUUGUUUAAAGAAAUAUCCUUUUGAUUCAUUUUCAUCUUUGAUUUUUGUAAAUAUUUUUUUAAAAAAAUGUUGACUUUUUAAAUAUUCUUUUAUUUCUAUUUUUUUUUUCAAACAGUUGAACCUAAAAUCGAAAAUAUAAUCGAUUCAAACUAAAAAAAACAAUUAAAAAUCAUAUUUUUUGUCUUAAUAAAAAUAGCUUUUUCCAUUAUACUUUAAUUUUUUCAGCUUUGAUUUUUAUAAAUAUAAUUUCUCAUAAUUUCUAUAUUUUUAUAUAAUUUUUAAUUUUUUAUAAAAUUUUCUUAAUUAUAAUUAACAUAUAUAUAUUUUAAUUUUUCUAAAUGGUUGAAUAGUCAUGUUGAAUCGAUUCAACCGAAAACCAAAGAUAAUCUUGCUCUAUUAUAACUAGAGUAAACUAUGUCUUAUUAGUAAGUUUACACUUUAGUUACUCAAUUUUAAAAUGUUACAAAUUGAUAAUUGAAUUAUUCGAAAGUUAUCUUUUAAGUCAUUAAGUCGCUAAGUUACUAACGAAUGUUUGAUGGUUGUUAACUCACUAUUUAUCUUAUGGUAAACUAUACAGAAGCCCACUCCAUUCGAUCACCUAAUGUCAAAAUAGUUACAAGUUAGUCACCAAACUAUUUGAAAUUUUUAGGGCUUUAUGGGCCUCCAUCACAAUUGUAUUCCAAUAAUCUCACCAUCAUUUGACCUCCUCCUCUAGCAAAUAAACUCACUGAACUAGAGUUUUUUUCCCUCCUCUUUCAACUUUAUGGUUUAAUUUUCCUUGAAAUGGCCUGAAACUUCGUUGAUUUAAAUCCGAAGCCCUGAUGGAGAAGCUCUCCGAUCUCUAUGCACAUUUGUCAGAUGGUUGCCUAACUUUGAUAUGUUCUUCUUCUCAACAAGUCUUUCUCCUUGACUUUUUUGAUUAAGUCUCUAUCACCUGGAACUCUCUAACUAACUCUUGACUGAAUUUGAUAUAUUUGAGUCUCCUUUUUCUUUUGAUAUUUUGAUUUUCUUUUCUCUGAUUUAAUUUUAUCCUUUUUGCUUCUAUAGGUCCUAUUUGGGGCUUGUUGAAAGAGGAUACUUUCUUUCUUCUUUUUUUUUUAUUUGCUUUGUUUUUUUGGUAUUUUUGUUUGCUUUUAUUGCGUUUAUGGUGAUAUAUAUAAUUUGAUAAAAGCUUAUGGUGAUAUUUGGUUGCUGGUUUGGGCUAAGCUUAAUUGUAUAUUUUCUUAGGUUAUAGUUUUGGAUAAAUGGAAAAUGAUAAUUGGGUUAAAAAUAAAGGGUUGUUGAGUUGAUUGGGUCAAAGAUGAGAUAUGGGGUUGAUAAAGGCUUUGUUAGGGUUUGAGGCUUGAGUUGUUAAUAUUAUUUGGAUUAUAGGUUAGAGAGUAAUUGUGCAAAGAUUGAGUGGCUGAAUUGUAAGCUUAUUAGUAGUUCAAUGAUCAAAAUGUAAAUUUACCCAUCCCGCAUUUGAUGUCUUUUGGAAACCUAAUGGGUGAAUGAUCAAUUAGUUUAAUGAUCAAAUUAUAACUUUUUAAAAUUUAGUGACUAAAAUAUAAACUUACUAAUAGUUUAGUAAUUUUAGUAGUUUAAGCUUAUAAUUAGAUUAUUAUAGUCUAUUAGGAUGCAUAUGUGAAGGAUAGAGAGCUAAAAUCAUAAGGAGCAUAAGAUCAGGUCGCAACUGCAAUUAUAGAUUGUUGAGGUAGGCCGGGACCGGUGGAUCAUGUGGAGGCAGUACCAGAUGGUGCUAGCCGCAAACGGAGAUCGAUGUUACCUUCUUCAUUUACAUCCGCAGCUACUAAUGAAUCCAACGUAGACCCCACGCCAACUUCAGUUUGUACUACUAGGAAAGGUCCCUCACUGGGUUGCGCCCCGACAACGUGCAAAGGACGAGGACCCCUUAGAAUUAUAGGCGUACACGAUGGUGAGGGACCCCGGAAGACAACCGCAUGUUCAUCACUUGGGCUCAAGUUUGUGAACCCUGAUCUGGCAUAAAGCGACGGCCUUGAUCGAAAUGAAUGCGCAGUGAUAACAUGGCCAGUGGUCACAAACCGUUGAUGAUGAUGAGCAGUGAAGGAAGAGGCCAGUUUUGCCCGUCGCUCUCUUUUGUGGGCGUUCUGAUGGCCACCCAAAGCUUGAGAAUUGGGAAAUCCUCGGUGACAAUAUUGGCACUCGAAUCUCCUGUUGUCACAAGGAGCUGCUGCAACUGGGAAACCGAAAAGCUUUAGCUUUGAAGAUUGAUUAUUCCUUCCGGUCUCAUCACCGGCGCCAUUGUUUUCUGAUGCACUUCUACUCAUUGAAAUGGCUGCUUUGCUCAUGAUGUAUUAAUUCGUUCGGAUCCUCCAUAGAAUUUAUAAUAUAGGGAAAGGAUCAUUUGCCAUGCAUGCAGACUGACGCAAAUACCCUUUAGAGGGAAAAAUUAUUUGUUCGAUAUCAAAGAGCGAACCAUAUCCAAAACAAUAGGCAGUGUUGUCGAGUUCACUGUGGAUACCUUUUUCUAUUGGAUUCCUCGAAUAGACAACAAUCACUCGUGCGAAAAAAGUAGGUCCUAACCUUUCACUUUAACCAGCGGUUCUGCAUCAUCUCCUUUUAACAUAUCCAACUCUCAUAGUUUAUAAACAACAAUAACGCAUGAGGUUACGACAUGUGUAAGGACCCCUCCAGCAUGAAUUAUAUGAGAGAUCCAAAGGCAUAUAUCCAUCAUCCAAAUAACAUGAAAUACUACAGUACUAUGGUUUCCCUUUUGGUGCACGGUCUAUAUGGAAACGAUAUCAUGUCAAUGAUGGCACUCAGUUCUCACUGUCUAGGCGUUUGAUAGUCCAACCGAUUCCAAUAAUUUUGAAGCGUGGAUUAUUACACACACAAUUUUCUUCUUACAGGACAGGAUGGAAUAAUUACAAAAGCAUUAGUACUUAUCCAUAUAGCUUAAAACAUUUUAUUAUGUAAAAGCUUAAAACAUUUAAUCAUUUUAUUAUUUUAAAUCCAAUUUUAUAUACACAUAAUAACCGAUUAAAGGGUCCACAAGGUACAAACAGACGUACUUUGUGGUAGAAAUUCAACUUUAAUCCCUUUCAAACAUUAGUACUUUAAUUUCAUCUUUUUUCAGUUUUUUUAUUACAUAUAAGAAUAAUAUUUUUGGUCUCUUUCAAAAGUUAAAAAUUGGGUUUUGAUUCAAUUGCAAUUUGAUACAUGAAUUUUGUAGUGCAAUUAUACGUAUGAAACUUUGAUUGUGGUUCAAAUGUAUACAUAAUACUUUGAUUUUGAUUCAAUCAUAUGCAUUUGAAUAAAUAAAUACAUCAAUUUAUUUGUAUAUUUGAUAAAUGUAAUUAUUUGUAUAUGCAAUAUAUAAAUAUGUGGGGGUGUGCCUCACGUUUAUUGGACAUGUUGCAGUUACCUUAGACGAGAAUCAAUGAAGCAACCGAAUAAGGGCCAAAAUAUGCUCGACAUCGAGACGAAGAGGUCCUCGAUGUCAGGACACCGUGACGGUUUUUGGCAAUAGAUGUGGCGAUGACGUUGUGACGAGAAGAGCUGGCACGUCAUGCCAAUUCUUGAUGUUAUGCAGCCACAUUUUGUAUAGCUCAACGAGCUUCUUCUCCUAAUUAGACUCUGAUACUUCAGGGUUAUUAAUAUUGAGCCCAUUUAAAGGGCCUUUGUAACCCUGAUUUAGACAUGCCAAUCAAUAAGGGCUUUUCUUAAUGGUUAUAAAAUGUAGUAGCAUAUGAGUUUUGGUGAGAGUUUCGUGGUAACUAUGAAGAGAGUUUUGUUCUUGAAUUAUGGCUUUAUUUUUAGGGUUUGGAUUUGUACAUUUAGGUUUGUUUUCUUCAUAUUAUAUUCACGUUUGUUUACUAAUUUAAUGAAAAGUCGAAUCCUCUUUUGCCCGUGAUUUUAUCUUCUUUGGAGGGGUUUUCCACAUAAAAUAUUUGUGUUCGAUCUUCUCUGCUUUUCUUGAUGGCGACAAGAUGUAGUCACAUAUGAGUUUUGCUGAGAGUUUUAUGAUAACUAUGGAGAGAAUUUUAUUCCCGAGUUAGGGCUUUGUUUUCGGCGUUUGGGUUUGUACAUUUAGUACAUUUAGGUUUAUUUUUUUCCGUAUUGUAUUCUCGUUUGUUUAUUAAUUUAGUAAAAAGUCGAAGCCUCUUUUGCCCGUGAUUUUAUCUUCUUUGGAGGAAUUUUUCACAUAAAAUACUUGUGUUCGAUCUUCUCUACUUUUCUUAUUCGUCGUUUAUAAUGGUCGAUCCCCAACAAAACAUCAAAUGAUGUUAUAUCAAUAAUUAUGUUAAUUUGUAAGUAUUGGAUCAAAUCAAAAUUUAUGUAGAAAAAUUAUACAAAAUUAAAAUUCAAGUAAAUAAUUUCACAUUAAAUCAAAGUUGAUGCAUAUUUAAAAUUUACCUCAUUAAAAAUUUAAUUUAAUUCAUUUUAAUGUAAAACUUUUAACUAAUUUUUAAAUUUUAUCUUUAACCUAUCACAAAAUUCCGAAGUACUAAAAAAUCUUCUAGCGUGGUACAUUUCACUACAAGCCACCGUGACAGCAUGGCCACGUUUGGUCAUUCUCUGUCAAACGAACUUGUAUAUUUGUGAUAAUAGUACUAAAAAAUCUUCCUCAUGCUAAUACGCGGCAUAUACUUGUCAUGCUUCUCUCUUUCCAUUUUAUAAAUGAAUAAUUUUCAGUUUUGGUUCUUUUAAUAUGCUUAAAUUUGAUAUUUAAUCUUUAUACAUUAAUUUUUAAUAUAAUUUAAUUUUUAUAUUACUUUUUAAUAUUGUUAAUUAGUUCAAAUAGUUAAUAUAGUUAACUUUUCAAUUAAAAUGUUACAUGAAUAUAUAUAAUUUGAAAGCGAAUUUUUAAAUCUAAAAAGUAGAUGAAUUAAAUUUUUAAAAAUAAAAGUAGGAUGACUAAAUUCCAAAUGAAGGAAGUGUAAAGACUUAGAGUCAUGAUUGUUUAAAUCAGACUUGCCAAUCAAAUCGGGAACCAACUGGAGCAUCGAUUCAAAGAAAUACUUCAGACUGCGUAAUUCACAAAUUGAUACGAACUAGUUAAACUAGUUUUUAUUUUUAAAAUAUUUUUUAUUUUUAUUCUUUUUUAAUGAUUAUUUUAAUUUAACGGUACAAACUAAUAGUUUGACCAAUUCAAUCACCAAUUUAUUUUUUAAAAAUUUUAUUUAGAAUAUAUUUUAAUUUUCAAAUUUUUACUCUAAGUUAACCACGCAUUUCUCCUCUUGACAGUUGUGCAAAACCAAACAAUUUUUUUUUUAAUUUUAUGUCAAUUUUAACCCUAGAACAUGCUUAAGAUUUAUAUAUAUAUAUAUAUGAAAGGAAGGUCCAUCUUCCUCAUGCUAACACAUGGCACACACACCCAUCAUGUUUUUUUAUUUUUUUAUUUUAUUUUAUAGAAUUGAUUAAUUUUUAGUUUCAAUCUAAUAUACUUAAAUUUAAGAUUUAAUUAUUAUAAUUUAAUUUUUAAUGUUUUUAUAUUUUUUAAUAUUAUUAAUUAGUUUAAAUGGUUAAUAUAGUUAACUUUUUAAUUAAAAUUUAAGUGGAUACAUAUAAUUUGAAAGCGGGUUUUUAAAUUCAAAAAAUAGAUGAAUUAAAUUUUUUAAAAUAAAAUAAAAAAAUUAAAAUUUAAAUAUACAAAGUAUAAAGACUUAGAGUUAUGAUUGUUUGAGUCGAAUUAGUAGAUCAGAUCAAGAACUAAUUGUAUAAAGAAUUAUAAGCUGGUAGAAUAGUUUGUUUUUCUGUUUUGGAUUAGUUAAGUAUUGAGAUACUAUAAAUAUUUAAUUGUAUUCUUAUGAAAUAAGAUUGAAGCAUUUUUAAAAAAAAUAUUUUAACAUGGUAUCAUGUGAGCCAAUUUUUCUCUGGGGAGUUGGGCCACAUUUUUUUCUUCUUCGGCUCGUUUCUGUUCUCUUUGUUCCUAAUUUGUUUAGGGCACAAAUUCUAAAUUUUUUUCCUUUCUCUUUCGAUUCAUUAUCAUUUCUUUUUCUUCGUGAUUCUCUGCUCUUUUUUUUACUCAUGGCGGAUAUUGAUUUUCAUCAUCCUUUGUUCCUUCAUCCGUCGGAUACACCGGGCACCAUUCUUAUUUCUCAUCGUUUGACCGGUGUUGAGAACUAUUCUGUUUGGAGUCGUUUGCUUCGAAUUGCCUUGCUCGCAAAGAACAAGCUCGGGUUCGUUGAUGGUGAUUGCCGCCGUUCGAUGUAUCCGGACUCUCUUCGUGCUCAAUGGGAUCGCUGCAAUGCUUUUGUCCUUUCUUGGAUUCUAAACACAAUGAGUCCAGAUUUAUCUACGGGGCUUGUAUUUGCUUCUGAUUCUGCUGCGGUUUGGACAGAUCUCAAGGAUCACUUUAGCAAGGUGGACGGUUCCCGUAUUUUCUUUCUUCAUCAAUCUAUUGCACAUCUCAUUCAAGGUGAUGCUACUGUUUCUUCUUAUUUCACGCAAUUGAAAUUGCUUUGGGAUGAAUAUACUGCUCUCGUCUCUUUUUUCACUUGUGAUUGCGAGGUCGCCAAGCAAAAUUCAAGCCAUCUUCAUCAACAACGAUUGUUUCAAUUCUUGAUGGGUCUCAAUGAGACCUAUGCUACCGUUCGUAGUCAGAUCCUCUUGAUGCAGCCUUUACCUUCGGUAAAUAGAGCUUAUUCCAUGAUCGUCCAAGAAGAAGCUCAACAGAGUCUUUCCUCUGUUUUACCUCAUGCUUCCGAACCUAUCGCUUUGCUUUCUACCGCUUCUGGCAACCGUAAAAAAUUCAAUGGUACCUGUGAUUUUUGUAAAGUGAAAGGGCAUAAGAAGGAAUCUUGUUACCGUUUAAUCGGGUUACCACCUGACUUCAAGUUCAACCGUAAGAAGGCUUCUCCGGCUGCUCUUACAGUCUCAUUCGACGAUUCCUUGCUCAAUUCUCAGAGUGCCCCUGUCUUUGCUCCUCAACAGUAUUCUGAGCUCUUGGAGUUGUUGAAUAAAACUCGAACUGUGCCUGCACCUGCUGUCAAUUGUGCAGGUAUCCCUUCUCGUACUCCUUUUUCAGCUAAUAAUAAUUUUUCUUGGAUUUUGGACACUGGUGCAACUAAUCAUAUAUGUUUUGAUUCUACGUUUCUGAAUUUUCCUGUUGCUUACCCUCCUAAUUCCCAUUUUGUUCAGCUUUCGAAUGGUAAACACUCUACUAUAACUCAUUCUGGUUCUUUGUUACUAUCUGCUGAUAUCACCCUUACCAAUGUUCUUUGUGUACCACACUUUAAUCAUAAUUUGAUUUCUAUUUCUAAAUUGGCCCUUGAUUUGCAUUGUGCAGUCAUUUUUUACCCUGAUUUCUGCAUCCUGUAGGAUCUCUCCAAUGGCAGGAUGAAGGGGAUUGGUAGGCAUCUAAAUGGUCUUUAUUUUUUUGAGCCUUUUCUACCCUGGUUAGAUCCCCUACUUCUACUUCUUGUAUGACUUCUAUUGCUGAUUUGAUUUCCUUAUGGCAUGCUAGACUCAGUCAUGUGCCUGUCAACAAAUUACAUCGUUUGUCUUUUUUCAUAAUUUUCCAAUUAAUAAAGACUUUACUUGUUCUGUUUGUCCCAUGGCUAGACAAUCUAAAUUGCUUUUUCUAACUAGUGUUUCUAGGGCAGCAACUCCUUUUAGCUUAUUACAUCUUGAUGUUUGGGGGCCUUAUAGAGUGUCUACCCCUUGUGGCCAUCGUUUCUUUUUAAACAUUGUCGAUGAUCAUACUCGCAUGACUUGGGUGUACUUACUGAAGCUUAAAUAUGAUGUUGUGAUAGCUCUCAAACAAUUUUUUCUCAUGGUCAAAACUCAAUUUUCUGCUGUCAUUCAAACUGUCAAGAGUGAUAAUGGUUCUGAAUUUUUUAACUCAUCAUGUUCUUCUUUCUUUGAGUCUUUAGGCAUUAUUCAACGAAGUUCUUGUAUUGAUACACCUCAGCAAAAUGGUAUUGCUGAACGAAAGCAUAGGCAUCUGCUCGAAAUUGCUCGUGCUUUACGUUUUCAAUCAAAUGUUCCUCUUAAAUUUUGGGGUGACUGCAUUUUAGCUGCUUGUUACAUCAUUAAUCGGCUCCCUUCUUCUGAUUUAGCUUGGUGAACGCCAUUUGAAUUGCUUUAUAAAAAGCCCCCUGAUUUUUCUCACUUUCGUGUUUUUGGGUGCCUUUGUUUUGUAAUUAACCCCCAUAAUUCUGAUAAAUUUUUUUCCAGAUCUCUUCCCUCAGUUUUUCUGGGUUAUUCUCCUUCCAAGAAAGGUUAUAUUUUGUUUUGUUUGGACUCUCAAAAAUUUUUUGUUAGUCGCAAUGUUCAUUUUGUUGAAGAUGUCUUUCCUUUUAAAUCUUCUUCAUUUGAAUUUCCUGUUCUGUUUCCCCCUACUCCUGACAUUUCAAUUUAGAUUUCUUAAUUAUUCCCACUCCUACUCCUCCAACAAGCGCUUCACCACAUCCUGUUCCAACUUCAGUAAGUACAUCUCCACCUUUUGUCUCUCCUACUUUGCCUAUUGUUGAACCUAGGCGGUCUGGUCGAACUCUUAAGCCUCCUUCUUGGCUAAAAGAUUUUAUUCAUCCCUAUCAAUCUCCUUCAUCCCUAGGUGUUUCUUCUUCUAAUUCUGUAUUUUUAUCCCAUUUAUCUCUCAAAACUCAGGCCUUUGUUUCUUCCCUUUCCCAUAUUAUUGAACCUCUUUCUUAUUUUAAGGCUCGCCACUCUCCCCAUUGGGUUCAGGCCAUGCAAGAGGAAAUUCGGGCCUUAGAAUCUAAUCAUACAUGGACUGUUGUUCCUUUGCCUCUAGGGAAGGUUCCUAUUGGUUGUAAAUGGGUGUACAAGGUCAAACUUCGAGCCUCUAGUGAAAUAGAGAGAUAUAAAACUCGGUUGGUUGCCAAGGGCUACAACCAGAAAGAAGGGAUCGAUUACUUGGACACUUUUUCUUCUGUUGCUAAAAUGGUCACUGUUCGAACCAUUUUGGCUCUUGCGGCUUCUCUCAACUGGUCUCUUUGUCAAAUAGACGUGUCUAAUGCUUUUCUCCAAGGUGACCUUCAUGAAGAGGUUUUUAUGAUGUUGCCUGAGGGUUUCCGCAGCCAGGGGGAGCAUAUGGUAAGUCGACUGCAGAAAUCUUUGUAUGGGUUGAAGCAGGCAUCCAGACAAUGGAAUGCUAAGCUUACUGAAGCUCUUAUGUUGGCUGGUUUUGAGUAGAGUAAGUUUGACGACUCUCUUUUUGUUAAAAAGAAAGAAGGCAAGAUGGUCAUAAUACUAGUCUAUGUUGAUGAUCUUCUUAUUAUUGGAAAUGAUAUGGAUAUGAUCAAUGACUUGAAAGGAGUCCUGAAUCAAAAUUUCAAGAUGAAAGAUUUAGGAGAUUUACGGUACUUUCUUGGGAUUGAGAUUUUAAGGUCUCAAGAGGGGAUUUUGUUAAAUCAGCUGAAAUAUGCACAAGACCUUAUCAAGGAUACUGGUUUAAGUAAAGCAAAAGUUGCUCUUACACCACUUAAACAGAAUCAGAAACUAACAACAGCAGAGUUUGAUGAAAUAGUUCAACAGCAUCAAGACGACAAGUUGUUAGAAGAUAAAACAGUUUAUCAGAGACUCAUUGGAAGGCUAAUCUACUUGACCCAUACAAGGUCAGAUAUCACCUUCGCUGUUACUCAUCUUAGUCAGUUCAUGCAAAGUCCAAAACAGUCACAUAUAGAAGCCGCGUUAAGAGUUGUAAGGUAUAUAAAGAAAGAGCCAGGGCUAGGAAUUUUUUUGAAGGCUUACAACAAACAUCAGUUGGUAGCAUAUUGUGAUUCAGAUUGGGCUUCUUGUCCAAUGUCAAGAAGAUCAGUUUCUGGCUUUUGUGUACACUUAGGAGACUCACUCAUUUCUUGGAAAUCGAAGAAACAAUUCACAGUAUCAAAAUCCUCUGCAGAAGCCGAGUACAGAAGUAUGGCAGCAGUAACAUCAGAACUGGUUUGGCUUUCAGGUUUAUUCAAGGAACUGGAGAUAUGUGUAGGUAAACCAAUGAAACUAUUCUGUGACAAUAAAGCAGCUCUUCAAAUAGCAGCGAAUCCUGUGUAUCAUGAAAGGACUAAGUGUAACGCCCCUAACUCGAAUCCGUCACCGGAAUAGAGUUACGGAGUAUUACCGGAGUUACCGAUUCAUUUAUCAGAUAUUUCAUUAAUCCGAUAUCUUUUCUUUUCCACGUUCAAGUCUCGUAUUCAAGUCAUCCAGAUCUUUAUAAAAAAAUUUGAUCGUCGUUUUCAUUUAUUUCAUGUUAUAAUACAUUCAACUAAUGCUCUAAACAAAAUUAUCAUUUUACCCUUAAACUUUUAAUUAAUGACGAUUUCAUCCUUAAUUUAAA
rnacentral:lncRNA from 1 species